AUACGUAGGUGGCAAGCGUUGUCCGGAAUUAUUGGGCGUAAAGCGCAUGUAGGCGGUUUGGUAAGUCGGUCGUGAAAAUGCGGUGCUUAACGCCGUAUGGCGAUUGAAACUGCUGAACUUAAGUGCAGGAGAGGAAAGGGGAACUCCCAGUGUAGCGGUGAAAUGCGUAGAUAUUGGGAAGAACACCGGUGGCGAAGGCGCCUUUCUGGACUGUGGCUGACGCUCAGAUGCGAAAGCCAGGGUAGCGAACGGGAUUAGAUACCCCGGUAGUCCUGGCCGUAAACGAUGGGUACUAGGUGUGGGAGGUAUCGACUCCUUCCGUGCCGGAGUUAACGCAAUAAGUACCCCGCCUGGGGAGUACGGCCGCAAGGCUUAAACUCAAAUGAAUUGACGGGG
rnacentral:rRNA from 1 species